ACAGAGGGUGCGAGCGUUGUCCGGAAUCAUUGGGCGUAAAGGGCGCGUAGGCGGUCCAGUAAGCGUGUGGUGAAAGCCCGGGGCUCAACCCCGGGUCGGCCGUGCGAACUGCGGGACUCGAGCACUAUAGAGGCAGGCGGAAUUCCGGGUGUAGCGGUGGAAUGCGUAGAGAUCCGGAAGAACACCGGUGGCGAAGGCGGCCUGCUGGGCAGUGGCUGACGCUGAGGCGCGACAGCGUGGGGAGCAAACAGGA
rnacentral:rRNA from 1 species